UACAGAGGUCUCAAGCGUUGUUCGGAUUCAUUGGGCGUAAAGGGUGCGUAGGCGGCGCGGUAAGUCGGGUGUGAAAUCUCGGAGCUUAACUCCGAAACUGCAUUCGAUACUGCCGUGCUUGAGGACUGGAGAGGAGACUGGAAUUCAUGGUGUAGCAGUGAAAUGCGUAGAGAUCAUGAGGAAGACCAGUGGCGAAGGCGGGUCUCUGGACAGUUCCUGACACUGGAGGCA
rnacentral:rRNA from 1 species